AUGGAAAACAGACUCAGCAUACAGUAGCUCAGAGCUUGUGUUGGAAGAUGCAAGCUGUGAAUGCACUUUCUGUGUUUGCCAGACACUUUUAGACAAAACUGGAAAGAUUCAGUCCCAAAUCAUGAAAGAUUUUUGCAAAUCUGCAGGUGCCAAGCCUGAGUUUGAGGUCCAGGAGAGGCCAAGUGCCACCUGUGUGAUUGUUGCUGCAGCAGUACUAUUGCGUCCUCCCCAGUGCAGAAAUUGGGGAAAUUUGCUGCCCUGCCAUGGGGAGCGGGCUAAAAGAGCUACCCCAAGAAGUGACUCUGUCCAAAUGUGAACAUGAACAGAACAUCAUGCUUUCCAAAGCAAUUACAAUUCUCAUUCACCCUUUCCAUCUCCCCCAUGCUUGCUGUGUGUAAUGAAGCUGAAAGACAACAAGGGACAUGGUCACUGGAGAUACCUGUCAAGCCUGUGACUGAAGCUACUGAAGUUCUCUACUAAUAUGGCACGUGAAAACUUGAGUAAGAAGUGCUACAGUUCCAAAGUCAAACAUUCAGUUUCUAGGAAAUAACCAAGUCAUAUCUUCCAAGGCAGCCUUAGCUCAAUUUUCCUAUUUAUACACUUUAUAAUAUAGUAUUUAAUUAUGUCAUCACAGAUAAGUUACUGCUGAAAUUUCCUCCUAAUACCUACUCUGAGCAUUUGUGUAUCUAUAUAACCCUUAGAGCUGUGCCUUUAUUUCUCCCAGAGAGCAUUGUAUUAGAACCCAGCAGAGAGAGAUUAAAUCUAAACUCUUGAUUUCCUAAAGUCUCAGAGGCAAAAUCAACCUGGCAUGACAGCCCUUAGUGAGGAGAGCUGGGGGGUUGGCUGAGUAAGUAGAAAGUGGAGCCAUGUGUCUGUCUGUCCCAUCCACUUCUCCCUUAUAUUUUGCUAGAAGUACAGUGACCAAAGUGAUGCUCCAGUGCCUCCCCAGCAAUACAGCCCCACCACUUGCUGAUUCACCAAAAGCCCCUUGCCCAGCUGGAACAGCCCAUCCAUGCUAGCUGAGCUUUUACUCAGGAUCCUUUUAGUGAGUAUUUUACUUUGCUCUAGAGACAGGAAAAAUGCAGUGUGGUUUUAAAUCCUUUCACAGAGGAAGGGUAUAGAGCAGGUGGGCAAACACGCUAAGGAGAACUUUGGACUCAGGCCAUAGGUGAGCAGAGACUGGGAGGUGUCAGGAAACACCUUGUAAAACACUGGGAGUGAGAGCAGACAGCAGCUCUGCAGUUCUCCCUUUUCCUUUCGGCAGUAGCUAAUUAGUCUCUGUGUAGGGAACAGGUUCCCAGUGAAAAGCAAAGCCUUGCACUGGCUGUUACCAAGCAAUUAUUCAUUGCCAUUCUAGCAAUUAUUGCUGCCUCUGGGACAGCAGCUACUUUCUACUUUGAGAAACACAGGAGAUGACUUUCCAUUAAGCAGUCAGUCUUGUUUAUAGGAAAAUGCACCAAUAAAUAAUAAAAAUAAUCUACCAA